UACUCUCGACAAUCGAACGUACCGUCAUAUUAUUAUUUUAGUUUACUGUGUGCACGUCUGGAAUUCUCAGUUUUGUUAUGAUUUGAAUAUGCAAUAACCUCAAAAAGCAUUUUCCAGUUCCAACACAAAGCAUGAAGGAGUACCAUGUCACGGGUUAAAAUUGUUUGAUGCAAUGGCUCCGCUAUCUUUGUGCUCCUGAUGGUGAAAUCAUUUUGAAAAACUAUGACUAUUUCAAUUAAUUAUUGAAAAAUAACUACAGUUAAUAUAUUUAUGAAAUAUUUAGAGUAAUUUAUUAAUUAGACCAUAUUUUCUAAAAAGCAAAACUUUUUUUUAAGCAAUGCCCAUUAGUUUGUUAGUUUGUGGAUCACUCAAUAAAAAUACUGAUAUCGAAACA